rnacentral:tRNA from 1 species
GCCUUCGUGGUGUAAUUGGAGCACAUCCGGCUAGUAAUCGGAAGGUUCUAAGUUUGAAUCCCGGUGAUGGCA